rnacentral:misc_RNA from 1 species
AUACUUGGGGACUUCAACGAACACGCCGGUGAGCAGUUUUCACUAGAACUCACCGUAAAAAAGGUUUCCCUGGCACAGAGGUCUUACGAAAUAUUUGGAGAAGAAAUAGUCAAAAGAAAUCACUCAAAUAUGGUUUACCGUUUAUUAUAUUUAUGAUCGGAGGAUCUUUUGGCUUAAGAGAAUGGACGCAGAUAAGAUACCAAUUUUCUAAGGUUAAAGGUGUGAGCAAAGAUGAAGCAGAAAAGAUGGGCCUUCACAAAGAUAAAGAAGUAACAUUAGAAACUGCUUAUGAAGAAAUAAAGAAACUAGAUAUUGAUAAUUGGGAAAAUAAAAGAGGUCCAAGGCCUUGGGAACAAAAUGAGAAGAAAUGAUUAUAUAUUAUAUUAUUAUAAUUGCUUGUGGAAACGGUAGCAAUGUUAAUGUGUUUGAAAUUUAGAAUUAAGAUAAAAAAGGUUAAAUAAAUAGUACUAUAAAAUCAGUUUAUAUUAUUUAAAUAAACAAAAUACUUACCCUUUUAAUACUAAUAAUAA